GCAGAAAUGUGAGGGGUGUACUCACUUUUGUGAGAUACUGUAUAUUCUUCAUAUAUUCUUAUAACUUUAUAUAAGAAUAUUUAUAUUAUUAUAGUACCUUGCUACAGGUACUGAAGACAUACACUAGAAGAUAGUAUGUUCACACCCAAAAAAGUACAGUUUGUCCAGUUUACAGUUACAGUUUAGGACAGUUGGAGACUGUAAGUGAUCUGCACAUGCAUUACUCUCUAUUCUCUAGCCUUUCAUCAGUGGUCAGUUUCUGACCACAGAACUGCUCUUGGAUGGAUAUUUUUGGCUGGUGGACCACUCUCAACCUAGCAGUGACACUGACAUGUGUAAAAAUCCAACAACACCGCUGUACCAACCUAUCCACCAAUCAGUGCCAAUGUUGAGUUGAGAGUGGUCCAUCACCCAAAUCAUAAUUGUUCAAAAACACUCUUGACAGAACCUGUCCAAUUACGAAUGGGGUAGAGGUUAACUGACAAAUUGUGCAGCAACAGAUGGGCUAUGUUGUGAAAUUGUACGCCUGUACAAUGGACCUAUAAAGUAGGUAAGACUCAUAGAGUAGCCAGUAAGUGUAAGGACAAGGUGUUACUAAUAAAGUAGCCAUUGAAUAUAGGCCUACAUAUAUCAAAAUUUCACAGUAAUAGCAGUGUUAAUAGCUAAAAGUGGAUUAUGUGACCCUUAGAAAUCUUCCAUCUUAUUCAUGUUGUCUAUUUAUAGAAGACAAGUGCAGAACAAGAUCAAAAGCAAUUACCAGGGAAAAAUGGGCGUUUUCACUAGCAGCAAUCUGUAAAGGAAAUUGCAGGCAAUUGCACUUCAAUUACGGCUAGUAGGGACAUUCCAUUUUGAUUUUAAUGUCCCAUAAGCAGUGGGCUUCACACUUUCUGCAUAGGCACUUGCAAUAAUCUGCACAAAUCAUUUGUUAUGAGCUCCAUUCUCUGUCAUGUGCUUUAGAGGAAGAGAGACAGUUCAUAAAUAAGUAUGUAAUGUGUCAAUGAGUGGCUUUAAAACACUUACAGCAUCUGCCAUAAAGUUUCACUUCACUCUAAAGCUCUGUUGUGCUUUAUUAAAUGUUUGUCUUGAUUUGUAGUGGAUUGUAUAAUAGCUUUGUGUUUGAAGGAAGGUGUUUAAUGUUUAAUCGUCGUUAUGUGUAAUGUGCAUUAGAUAAGUGUUCUUCUUCUAGUCAUAACUGUUGUUUAAUUGCACUUCCGAUCCAAGAGUGAGGUUGCCAAAAAGCAUUCUAAGGACUCUAUAUGCCAUUAUGGGGAUAUUUAUUAACAUAAUGAAUUUGGAAAAAUGCGAUCCAGAUUGUGAAAAAUAAAAUCUGAAUGUACUGUACAAUCAAAUGGAAUACGUGUCUAUUUUCAGUGCCACUCACAUUUACUUCAAACAAGAAGAAUUAUCUGCCAGUGUAGCAAGAUCAUCUCUCAUCUCAUAGUGAGAAAUAUAAAUGUCCUAUAUUUAAAGGAAAGCUUCUGCAAACAAUCACAUUUACACUGAAUGGUUUGGAAAAAAAAAUCGAAUUUACACAAUUUUCCACUGAUGUAGAUGUAGGUCAGUCAAGACAUGGUGUCCAGAGUGUCUUUAGUUUAGUCUAGAAGUCAAUAGUCACCCAAAUCAUUCCCAUAAAUGCCUGUGUGACAUGUAUGCACAUGAAAUGGAGUAUAAUUUGGCACAACAUUUGUUAUCUAAAGUGGCCAUUCCUCAAUGUUCAGCUAUAUGGUGAUGUUAAUUUUUAUACGACGCAGUCAUUUUGUGCUCUGACCCACAGAGACAAGACUGCACAGUCUUAAUGAAGACUGGAAGCAGACUGAGCAAGUUGAGGAUGUUUUAUGGAAAAGGUAUGGGUGACUAACUGUGUCUGUCUCCUUGUAAAGCAGUAUCAGUGAUAUGGUGGUGAUGGAGAGAAAUAAUUGUUUGCUUGAUAUAUUGCUAGCAGCUUCGCACGGACCCGCUCAACUAUAGGGCUAACAACACGGCCCCACUGGUCUGGAGGAUUCGGGUGACAUUACACAUGUUGCCACUCUUCCCUGCAGUUACUGCAGUCAUGCGAAGUGAAACUAACAGGGUGUUGACCUCUUGACCACGAUUGCCAGCGCAGUGGAAGACUGUGUGUGCGCUCAGACUGCGGACUGCACUUAACCUCACACUAAAUGACUGCUGAGCCGUGUAUAAAGAGAGAACACCCAUUUCGUCUCACUUCCCAAAUGCAGUGAGAUUACAGAGGGUGGCUGACUGUCUCUCUGACCCCACACCCUUCAAGAGAAACCACCAAAAGAAAUCCUCUGGGCAUGUCAGAAACAGUCACUGCAGGCAGCAUAAGGAAGCACAAGGGAGUGAUGGCAAUGGAGCCCAACUGCUAUUCAAGAGGGAAAUGAUGCUGACUGCUGCCACGGAAACAAGCACCAACAGUUGCCUCACAACAGUGCUGUGCGGAGCAGCAUUUUAUCCAAGCACAGGCUGCUCUUUGUAAUCAGCAAAUGUGCUGGGCUGAUGUUUUGGUAUCAAAGGUCAGUGGGGCGGGUAAACCAGUUUAAGGCUGAUUUAGUGAGACAAUCCAUUUCAUUCCACCAGUUACAGCGGGAGGAAAAUCAAUAUGUAGCAUAUGGCAGUAUCAGUCUUUCCACAGCCCAGCUACAGCUGAAGCAGAGGCAAAGCAUACCCUCUUUCAGGAAUGGGCAAUAUUACAAAACACUGAUUAUCGUGAUGUCAUUUAUCACAAAAUGAACAUGCUUUUCUGAAUAUAUGAUGCGCAUUAUCAGUACUUCAACACGGAACAACUGCAUGCAACACCAAUUAGUUCAAUUAUAGACAGCUAAUAAACAAUACACAGGGAGUAGUAACUGCAUAAACUGAAUAAGCAACUAAUUAUGCCACUUAUUGCCAUCAUUUGUAGAAUUUUCCACCUGUGUUGUGUUCAAAAACAUCAGAAAAUACAAAUAUUGUGAUACACAUCAGAUAUGAUUGAAAAUACUGUCAAGUAUCAUGAUGUUCUAUUUUUUUGCCAAAUCACCCACUCUUACCCUAAAACCUGUUCUUAGUAUACUCACACACUCCCCUCCCUCCAAUUUCUUCUGCUCCACAUCUAAAGCCACCACCUACUAGACUCUAAUAUUCGGAGUUCCCUGCCUGUGGAUCUCCUCGCACUCGGGGUUCCCACCUGACUGGGCUGGAGCACUGUGGACUGCAGAUUGGAUUACUGCUUAUCCGCAUCAGAAGCUGCAGCUUCCCAGCAAAGCCUCUGGGCCUCGGGGCACUUUUCGAGUGAAUUCACCAGUAGCUCCCCUCAGAGAGUAAUGGAACAGUGAAGGAAUAUCCAGCCUACAUAAUCCUCUCUCCCUUCGUCUCCCUGCCAAUAACUCUGACAUCUCAACUAGCCCAUAGCCCAAACAGAUAGAGCAGGGGAUAAGAAAGCAGCAGAGUGGCUUGCAGACACACUUUAACAUUUUCGGAAGUAAGGCUGGAAAAUCAGAGUUCAUUCCUCUGACUCAACAGAGCCACUGUAAGAGUGACUGAAGUUAAAUCAUGCCAUGGCCACUGAAUCCAACACAAGCAAGUGCUACACACUAAGGCGGGUGUUUAUUUUGAUUGGAGAGGGCCUUGCUGGUCAUGUCGCUGACUAAAAAUGCCAAUGAGUUAAAGGAAUACAAUAAAUUGGCAGAUGUAAAACAAUAAUAUACAUAAAAAAAUCUUUUUCUUUUUCUUCGUUUGAACAUGGACCAAUAAAAACUAUGAAAAAGAAUUGUAAUAAAAAACAUUAUUUUAA